rnacentral:lncRNA from 1 species
UGUGGUUUAUGUCGUGAGUUGUUUGAUGAUGCAACCUUAUCUCCUUUUUUGAAAUGAAAUAUUCAUGACAUCUAUAUGACAACCUAGACUUGGUCAGGCUUUUCUAUUUCGUCUUUCUUGUACCACUUUACUCAAUGUUGGUGGUUUGUUUUUCAGCUUGACCAUGUGACAUUGGUUAUGUCAUGAUUACAAAAACGAGUAUGCAAUUUUUUUUUCUUGUAGAUGGCUUAUUAGUGCAUCACCCGUUUUUUUUUUAAUUUGCAACAAGUGACUGCCAGCAACAAAAGAAUGGACCAUUGUUUUUCAUGACAAAUAAGCAUAUCUGUCCAAUAAAUUGUGUCCAUUAUAUUAGCUUGCCCAUCACAUAUGAUAGUAUGUUUUACAAGUUGUCGUUUGGGUUUUUGUCUUUAUUAGCAUGGUGUACGUGUUUCAUUUGUAUUUUAGCAUGUAUUAUGUUGUGUAGCUGGUAUUCCAAAACAAACAAAACAAAUAUGAUAGAUUGGCGCUUGUCUAUGUCCAAGUGUAUUUUGAUCGGGUAAUUAUUAUUAAUUUGCAAGCUAGUGAUCUAGAUAUGCUCCAGCUCUUUUGUCAAAAAGCCUCAUGAUACAGCACUUGUUCUAUAAGCAAUAAUACAAUUCAUUAUUCCAUUUUUCUAAUUUUCGUAAGAUAAGGUGGACAACAAGCAUGUUAGCGUACAAGGAGCAA